rnacentral:rRNA from 1 species
GAUGAACGCUGGCGGCGUGCCUAAUACAUGCAAGUCGAGCGAACAGACGAGGAGCUUGCUCCUCUGACGUUAGCGGCGGACGGGUGAGUAACACGUGGAUAACCUACCUAUAAGACUGGGAUAACUUCGGGAAACCGGAGCUAAUACCGGAUAAUAUAUUGAACCGCAUGGUUCAAUAGUGAAAGACGGUUUUGCUGUCACUUCCCGACGCAUCCGCGCCGCAUUAGCUAGUUGGUAAGGUAACGGCUUACCAAGGCAACGAUGCGUAGCCGACCUGAGAGGGUGAUCGGCCACACUGGAACUGAGACACGGUCCAGACUCCUACGGGAGGCAGCAGUAGGGAAUCUUCCGCAAUGGGCGAAAGCCUGACGGAGCAACGCCGCGUGAGUGAUGAAGGUCUUCGGAUCGUAAAACUCUGUUAUUAGGGAAGAACAAAUGUGUAAGUAACUAUGCACGUCUUGACGGUACCUAAUCAGAAAGCCACGGCUAACUACGUG